rnacentral:rRNA from 1 species
UAGGGAAUCUUCCGCAAUGGACGAAAGUCGGACGGAGCAACGCCCCGUGAGUGAAGAAGGAUUUCGGUUCGUAAAACUCUGUUGUUAGGGAAGAAAAAAUGUAUAGUAACAAUAUACAAAAGAGACGGUACCUAACCAGAAAGCCACGGCUAACUACGUGCCAGCAGCCGCGGUAAUACGUAGGUGGCAAGCGUUGUCCGGAAUUAUUGGGCGUAAAGCGCGCGCAGGUGGUUUAGAAAGUCUGAUGUGAAAGCCCACGGCUCAACCGUGGAGGGUCAUUGGAAACUAAUAAACUUGAGUGCAGGAGAGAAAAGUGGAAUUCCUAGUGUAGCGGUGAAAUGCGUAGAGAUUAGGAGGAACACCGGUGGCGAAAGCGGCUUUUUGGCCUGCAACUGACACUGAGGCGCGAAAGCGUGGGGAGCAAACAGG